AGAGUUUGAUCCUGGCUCAGAUUGAACGCUGGCGGCAUGCCUUACACAUGCAAGUCGAACGGCAGCACGGGAGCAAUCCUGGUGGCGAGUGGCGAACGGGUGAGUAAUACAUCGGAACGUGCCCAGUAGUGGGGGAUAGCCCGGCGAAAGCCGGAUUAAUACCGCAUACGACCUACGGGAGAAAGCGGGGGAUCGCAAGACCUCGCGCUAUUGGAGCGGCCGAUGGCAGAUUAGCUUGUUGGUGGGGUAAAAGCCUACCAAGGCGACGAUCUGUAGCUGGUCUGAGAGGACGACCAGCCACACUGGGACUGAGACACGGCCCAGACUCCUACGGGAGGCAGCAGUGGGGAAUUUUGGACAAUGGGCGCAAGCCUGAUCCAGCCAUGCCGCGUGCGGGAAGAAGGCCUUCGGGUUGUAAACCGCUUUUGUCAGGGAAGAAACGCUCCAGGCUAAUAUCUUGGAGUAAUGACGGUACCUGAAGAAUAAGCACCGGCUAACUACGUGCCAGCAGCCGCGGUAAUACGUAGGGUGCAAGCGUUAAUCGGAAUUACUGGGCGUAAAGCGUGCGCAGGCGGCUAUGCAAGACAGAUGUGAAAUCCCCGGGCUCAACCUGGGAACUGCAUUUUGUGACUGCAUGGCUAGAGUGCGGCAGAGGGGGAUGGAAUUCCGCGUGUAGCAGUGAAAUGCGUAGAUAUGCGGAGGAACACCGAUGGCGAAGGCAAUCCCCUGGGCCUGCACUGACGCUCAUGCACGAAAGCGUGGGGAGCAAACAGGAUUAGAUACCCUAGUAGUCC
rnacentral:rRNA from 1 species